rnacentral:lncRNA from 1 species
GAUUACAGCUGCUAAUUUUGGCAUGUCCUUUUGGUUAAUCAUUGCUUUUGAAGUUGCCCUGGUCUUAGGUCAAGAUAAUUUUGAGCUACUUGGCGACGACCAGGUUUUGCUGUACACAUAAAUCAAUGUCUUUCAGUUAGAAAGAUACACGGAAAUGGUAUAUCACACCUGUGGGGUAUAUAUAAGCACAUAUAUGCAUGUAUUUCACGUCACUAAUCGGUGGUUUUGGUGCAGCAGCAGCAGCACGAACUGGAUGGCUCCGCAUCCCUCAGAGGCUCCCGGUAGCCGCCGCCAUUUCCUCUUGGUGGCCUCUUGAGGCCUGCCUGCUUGCUCAGGACCAUGAUGGCAGCAGAGCUGCCACACGAGGCUGCUGGUCACCCCAAGGGGCCAGUGCAGAGAAGGUGGACACUAAUGAAUGACUGCAGUGCUGCCCUGAGUGAGGGGGUCCCCACUAUUAAAAGUUUAAUAGAAAGAUCUGAGAAGCUGGGAGCCAAGAGGAGGAGGAGGGGACAAGGAGCUGUGAGUAACUCGGUUCAGGCCACCAAAAUGUUUGGGAUCCUGGGGUACUGA